UACGAAGGGGGGCUAGCGUUGCUCGGAAUCACUGGGCGUAAAGGGUGCGUAGGCGGGUCUUUAAGUCAGAGGUGAAAUCCUGGAGCUCAACUCCAGAACUGCCUUUGAUACUGAAGAUCUUGAGUUCGGGAGAGGUGAGUGGAACUGCGAGUGUAGAGGUGAAAUUCGUAGAUAUUCGCAAGAACACCAGUGGCGAAGGCGGCUCACUGGCCCGAUACUGACGCUGAGGCACGAAAGCGUGGGGGAGCAAACAGG
rnacentral:rRNA from 1 species